UGGAGCUGCUGCCUUUGGACCCAAAAGGUCAGAAGUUCAGAGCCCACCUCCAGCUGUUGUACCCUUGAGUAAGGUUGCUGCACCAUCGUGUCAAACCUGACCCAUAGCGACCACCCGCAUGGUUUCCAUGGCAAGGGGGGAACCGAAGUGGUUUUCUAAUGCCUUCUUCUGUAUGUUGGGGGGCACACACAGGGAGAAACAAGAAACGCCACCCACCCUGAGCUGGACUCAAACCCUACACCUGCCAAACAACAAGGUACCACUGAAACCUGCUGUGCCACCACAUCCCUCUUGAACAAGGUGGGCUGGUUCCUAACCCAAAACUGGAGACAGUGAGCAACAGGGAGGAAAUGGCACCCCUAACCCUCUCUGCCUCAUUUCCCUGCCAGUGGCCUGGGCUUCAGCACGAUGGAGUUGAGCUUGGAGGAAGCAUGUUUCCUGUCUCACAGAGACGCUGGACUGAAUUGCAGCUGUCACAUCCACGCCCACAACUUAACCGACAGCACCUGACUCUGGUCCAGCACCUGACUAACGGCUCACCCUUUGAAAGACCCUCCUCAGCUCCCAUACCUUUGCGGAAUCUCAUCAGAGACAACCGCCCUCCCUCGUGAUGUCCAGUGCACACUCAGCACUUGUUCUUCGUUCUCGUCUUCUGGUUUUUGUCCCUUCGCUUUGUUUCCCGACGACGUCCAUGGAUCUUCGUUCAAACGCCGACCGUCGACUGACCGACCUUUCGCUUCGUCCCAACCUCAUCCAUGGAUAAUCGCUCUAACUCCGAUUGCCGAUCGACCGACCAUUUGCCUGUCCCCGACUCCAAGAACUUGCCUUAUCCCCUGAAUUCAGACAAACGACUCGGCACUUGGGUCCUGCCGUCCCGGUUCUCUCGGCCCCGCAUGACAGCAUCAGUAUUCAAUAAAGAAAUUUAGCAGUUUUUCGGCA
rnacentral:lncRNA from 1 species